ACACGGACCAGGGAGUCUAAUGUGCGCCCGAGUCGCGGGGUGUCGAGCGGCUGCUGUAUUGACUUUGAACGGCGUGACAGCUGUUGCUUACCAUACAAAGAUCGUGAUGUUUUACGAUGGAUUUGAGUAAGAGCAUUUUGGGGAAGAUCACAUUGACGGUGAAAUAUUCCGGGCUCUCGAGACGCCGCAGGACGUCCUCAUUCACGCGGCGUCCCAUUGGCCCGGCGGCGUUGCGGACCGUCGUUCCUUCGGGGGCGGAGGUCGGGCGUCAUCUAACCGGGGCUGUUUCCUUGCGUGCACGUUGGUACCCGAAAGAUGGUGAACUAUGCCCGGCCAGGAUGAAGUCAGGGGAAACCCUGAUGGAGGUCCGCACCGAUUCUGACGUGCAAAUCGAUCGUCUGAGCUGGGUAUAGGGGCGAAAGACUAAUCGAACCAUCUCGU
rnacentral:rRNA from 1 species